ensembl:lncRNA
GGUUAACGAAUCUGACUAGAAACCAUGAGGUUGCGGGUUCGAUCCUUGCCCUUGCUUAGUGGGUUAAUGAUCCGGCAUUGCUGUGAGCUGUGGUGUAGGUCGCAGAUGCGGCUCGGAUCCUGCAUUGCUGUGGCUCUGGCGUAGGCUGGCAGCUACAGCUCCGAUUCAACCCCUAGCCUGGGAACCUCCAUAUGCCGCGGGAGCGGCCCAAGAAAUGGCAAAAAGACAAAAAAUAAAUAAAUAAAUAAAUAAAUCAGAUAGUUGAGGGGAGAUGGGAUUAAGAUGCCAGAAUAGAAGGAUUGGAGCUCAACUCCUCUCAUAAAAACAACAAAAUUACAACCAAAUGCUGAAUAGCCUUCAACCAAAUGAACUGGAAACUUUCAAGAAGAUGUCCUGCUCCAGAGGACAAAGAGGAGGCCACAUCAAAAGGUAGGAGGGGUGAUUACACAAUCUAAGCAACCCCAUACCUCCCUGGUGGGGAAGCCCACAGACUGGAAAGUAACUGUAUCACAGAGACUCACGUACAGGAGUGAGAGUUCUGAGCUCCACGUUAAGUCCCCAUACCUGGAGAUCUGGCACUGGGAGAAAGAGCCCCCAGAACAUCUGGCAUUGAAGGCCAGUGGGACUUGUGCACAGGAGCUCUACGGUACUGGGGGAAACAGAGACCCCAUUCUUGAAAGGCUCACACAGACUUUCAUGUGCACUGGGUCCCAUGGCAAAGCAGAGGCUCCAUAGGAAUCUGGGUUGGACCUGUCUGAAGUUCUUGGAGGAUCUCCUAGGAAAACAGGGGCUGACUGUGGCUUGAUGUGGGGGAAGGACAUUGGAGGCAGAGCUCUCUGAAGUAUACAUCAGCAUGUGUUUCUCUGGAGGUGGCCAUUUUGGGAAAAUCUGUCCCCACCCAUGAGUGCUGAGAAGCCCCAAGCCAAACAAUAAUCCAAGAGAGAUCACAGCCCAUCCAUCAGUAAACAGCCUGCCUAAAGACCCCCCCCCCCCCAAGGCACACAGCCUCUAAUCUCACCUAGAGAUAAAGCCCCACCCAUCAGAGGGAUAGGAAUCAGCCUCACCUACCAGUGGGCAGGCAUCAGUCCCUCCCAUUAGGAAACCUACAGCAAGCCCUGGUACCAACUUCAGCCACAAGGGGGGCAGACAUCAGAAGUAAGAGAAGCUGCAACUCUAUUGUCUGCAAAAAAGGGACCACAUUAAAAACAUAUAAAAAUGAAAAGGCAGAGAACUAUGAUUCAGAUAAGAGAGAAAGAAAAAACCCCAGAAAAAUGGUUAAGUGAUCUGGAAAUUAUCAGCCUCCAGGAAAAAGACUUUAGUCAAGAUGAUGCUGAAGAUGAUGCAAGACACUGGAAAUAAAGUGGAGGCAAAGAUUGAUAAUUUAUAAGAAACACUGAGCAAAGAAAUGUAAGAUUUAAAACUUAAGCAAGAAGAGAUGUAAAACACAGUAACUGAAAUAAAAAAUUCAUUGGAAGCAAUCAAAAGAAGAAUACAGGAGGCAGAAGAAUGAAUAAGCAAAGUGGAGGACAGACUAGUGGAAAUCACUGAUGUGGAAUAAAAAA